CCUUUGGUGGGGGAUAACCCGGGGAAACCCGCUAAUACCGCAUGAGCCUGGAGUUGUCAUGACUCCAGGGAAAGCAUUUAUGUGCCGAUGGAGGAGCCCGCGUCCGAUUAGCUAGUUGGUGAGGUAAGAGCUUACCAAGGCGACGAUCGGUAGCCGGUCUGAGAGGACGGACGGUCACACUGGGACUGAGACACGGCCCAGACUCCUACGGGAGGCAGCAGUGGGGAAUUUUGGGCAAUGGGCGCAAGUGACCCAGCAACGCCGCGUGGAGGACGAAGGUUUUCGGAUCGUAAACUCCUGUCUAGAGGGACGAAUAAGUGACGGUACCUCUGGAGGAAGCCCCGGCUAACUCCGUGCCAGCAGCCGCGGUAAUACGGGGGGGGCUAGCGUUGUUCGGAAUUACUGGGCGUAAAGGGCGCGUAGGGGUAUGGGAAGUCAUGGGUGAAAGUCCUCGGCUCAACCGAGGGAUUGCCUGUGAAACCACCAUACUGGAGUGCUGGAGAGGGAAGUGGAAUUCCCAGUGUAGCGGUGAAAUGCGUAGAUAUUGGGAGGAACACCGGUGGCGAAGGGGCUUCCUGGACAGACACUGACGCUGAGGCGCGAAAGCAGGGGAGCGAACGGGAUUAGAUACCCCGGUAGUCCUGGCUGUAAACGAUGAACACUUGGUGUAGGGGGUGAUGAAGUCCCUCUGUGCCGGAGAGAACUCGUUAAGUGUUCCGCCUGGGGAGUACGGCCGCAAGUGAAACUCAAAGGAAUUGACGGGGGCCCGCACAAGCGUGGAGCAUGUGGUUUAAUUCGACGCAACGGAAGAACCUUACCGGGGUUUGAACUGCACCUGAACGACCUAGAGA
rnacentral:rRNA from 1 species